GUUAAAAAGCUCGUAGUUGGAUUUCUGUCGAGGGCGGGCGGUCCGCACUAUGUGCGUGUAUCUUGUUCGGUCUUGGCAUCCUCUUGGGGAAUGCUUCUGUGCUUGAUUGCAUGGGGUGGAAUUCAAGACUUUUACUUUGAGGAAAUUAGAGUGUUCACGGCAAGCUACCGCUUUGAAUACAUUAGCAUGGAAUAAUAAUAUAGGGCGUAAGUUCCAUUUUGUUGGUUUCUAGGACAUACGCAAUGAUUAAUAGGGACAAUUGGGGGCAUUCGUAUUAACGCGUCAGAGGUGGAAUUCUUAGAUUGCGUUACGACGAACUACUGCGAAGCAUUUGCCAAGAUGUUUUCAUUGAUCAGACGAAGUAUGGGGAUCA
rnacentral:rRNA from 1 species